rnacentral:rRNA from 1 species
GACGAACGCUGGCGGCGUGCUUAACACAUGCAAGUCGAACGGUGAGGCGCCUUCCUUUUUGGUGGGUGUGGAUGAGUGGCGAACGGGUGAGUAACACGUGAGUCUCCUGCCCCCUUCUUCUGGAUAACCGCAUGCCAGUGUGGCUAAUACUGGAUAUUCUGGGUCUGUCGCAUGAUGGGUCUGGGGCAGAUUUUGUUUCGGUUGGGGAUGGGCUCGCGGCUUAUCAGCUUGUUGGUGGGGUGAUGUCCUACCAAGGCGGUGACGAGUAGCCGGCCUGAGCGGGUGGACGGUCACAGGGGGACUGAGACACGGACAAGACUCGUACGGGAAGCAGCAGUGAGGAAUAUGGCACGAGGGGAGCAAUGCUGAUGCAGCGACGCCGCGGGGGGGAUGGAGGCCGUCGGGUUGUGAACCUCUUUCGCCAGUGAAGCAGGCCGGCCGCGUUUGUGGGUGGGUUGACGGUAGCUGGAUAAGAAGCGCCGGCUAACUACGUG